AUUGAACGCUGGCGGCAGGCUUAACACAUGCAAGUCGAGCGGGGUGAUGGUGCUUGCACUAUCACUUAGCGACGGACGGGUGAGUAAUGCUUAGGAAUCUGCCUAUUAGUGGGGGUCAACAUCUCGAAAGGGAUGCUAAUACCGCAUACGUCCUACGGGAGAAAGCAGGGGAUCACUUGUGACCUUGCGCUAAUAGAUGAGCCUAAGUCGGAUUAGCUAGUUGGUGGGGUAAAGGCCUACCAAGGCGACGAUCUGUAGCGGGUCUGAGAGGAUGAUCCGCCACACUGGGACUGAGACACGGCCCAGACUCCUACGGGAGGCAGCAGUGGGGAAUAUUGGACAAUGGGGGGAACCCUGAUCCAGCCAUGCCGCGUGUGUGAAGAAGGCCUUAUGGUUGUAAAGCACUUUAAGCGAGGAGGAGGCUCUUUUGGUUAAUACCCAAGAUGAGUGGACGUUACUCGCAGAAUAAGCACCGGCUAACUCUGUGCCAGCCGCCGCGGUAA
rnacentral:rRNA from 1 species